rnacentral:rRNA from 1 species
UACGGAGGGUGCGAGCGUUGUCCGGAAUCACUGGGCGUAAAGGGCGCGUAGGCGGCCUGAUAAGUAGGGGGUGAAAUCCUGCGGCUUAACCGCAGGGCUGCCUUCUAAACUGUCAGGCUAGAGCACGGUAGAGGCAGAUGGAAUUCCCGGUGUAGCGGUGGAAUGCGUAGAGAUCGGGAAGAACAUCAGUGGCGAAGGCAGUCUGCUGGGCCGUUGCUGACGCUGAGGCGCGACAGCGUGGGGAGCAAACAGG